UGGGGAAUAUUGCACAAUGGGCGCAAGCCUGAUGCAGCAACGCCGCGUGAGGGAUGACGGCCUUCGGGUUGUAAACCUCUUUUAGUAGGGAAGAAGGGCUUCGGCUUGACGGUACCUGCAGAAAAAGCACCGGCUAACUACGUGCCAGCAGCCGCGGUAAUACGUAGGGUGCGAGCGUUGUCCGGAAUUAUUGGGCGUAAAGAGCUCGUAGGCGGUUUGUCACGUCUGCUGUGAAAUCCCGAGGCUCAACCUCGGGCCUGCAGUGGGUACGGGCAGACUGGAGUGCGGUAGGGGAGAAUGGAAUUCCUGGUGUAGCGGUGGAAUGCGCAGAUAUCAGGAGGAACACCGAUGGCGAAGGCAGUUCUCUGGGCCGUAACUGACGCUGAGGAGCGAAAGCGUGGGGAGCGAACAGG
rnacentral:rRNA from 1 species